AAUAGAUACCCGGGUAGUCCACGCCGUAAACGAUGAGUGCUAAGUGUUAGAGGGUUUCCGCCCUUUAGUGCUGCAGCUAACGCAUUAAGCACUCCGCCUGGGGAGUACGGCCGCAAGGCUGAAACUCAAAGGAAUUGACGGGGGCCCGCACAAGCGGUGGAGCAUGUGGUUUAAUUCGAAGCAACGCGAAGAACCUUACCAGGUCUUGACAUCCUCUGCCAACCCUAAAGAUAGGGCGUUCCCCUUCGGGGGACAGAGUGACAGGUGGUGCAUGGUUGUCGUCAGCUCGUGUCGUGAGAUGUUGGGUUAAGUCCCGCAACGAGCGCAACCCUUGAUCUUAGUUGCCAGCAUUCAGUUGGGCACUCUAAGGUGACUGCCGGUGACAAACCGGAGGAAGGUGGGGAUGACGUCAAAUCAUCAUGCCCCUUAUGACCUGGGCUACACACGUGCUACAAUGGAUGGUACAAAGAGCUGCGAACCCGCGAGGGUAAGCGAAUCUCAUAAAGCCAUUCUCAGUUCGGAUUGUAGGCUG
rnacentral:rRNA from 1 species